ACGCCUUGGGAUUUCCCCCGAGAAGCUGGCCGAAGUGGCUGGGGAGAGGGAAGUCUGAGCCUCCCUACUUAGGCUGCUGCUCCCAAGACCUAACCCCGGAUAAGAGAAAGAACAUUUAUGAUGGAUGGAUGGAUGGAUGGAUGGAUGGAUGGAUGGAUGGAUGGAUGGAACUCAGUUGUAUUAUAUUUUCUGUAAACAGGAUGGCAGCUCAGCUCUUUCUGUUGCGUUAGAGGCAGGACAUAAUGACAUCGCCGUCCUCCUUUACGCUCAUGCCAACUUCUCCAGACACUCAGGGGCUGUUGGUCGACACAGUGGCAGGUUUCUGUCUUCCUGAAGGAGGAAGUAAUAAUGUUGGAUCAGACGAUGUACCAAAGCGUGUCUCCUGAAUCCUGUUUGUUAGGGGUUACUAUCAGAGCCCUCGCAAAAAUCUGGCCAAAGUACUGAUUCUACAAAUAUUGUCAGAGUGUUUCGUCCACUAUAUGAAUGCUAGUGUCAUAUUUGCUAAGUAUGUUAGUAUAGCAGAGUAAUCAACGUAUCUAUCAUCAUAAAAGACCAUAAACACUGUUGUUAUAGUUAUCAGCUUUUUUUAAUCAAACAAUUUUACAGGAAAAUAAAACAUUAAAACUUUUGUAUAUCUUGUAAUUGCAACACAAACAUAUUUGUAAGCUGAGGAGACUGGUGCAUAAGUUGGUACAGUUUCUGAAAAUAAAGUCAAACAAGUCACUUCCACUUGUGUUGUUUCAA